rnacentral:rRNA from 1 species
CGGUCCUAAGGUAGCGAAAUUCCUUGUCGGGUAAGUUCCGACCUGCACGAAUGGCAUAAUGAUGGCCACACUGUCUCCUCCCGAGACUCAGUGAAGUUGAAAUGUUUGUGAUGAUGCAAUCUCCCCGCGGCUAGACGGAAAGACCCCAUGAACCUUUACUGUAGCUUUGCAUUGGACUUUGAACCGAUUUGUGUAGGAUAGGCGGGAGGCAGAGAAAGCGCAACGCCAGUUGUGCCGGAGCCGACGUUGAAAUACCGCCCUGAUUUGUUUGAGGUUCUAACCGCGACCCGUGAGCCGGGUUCGGGACCGUGCAUGGCAGGCAGUUUGACUGGGGCGGUCUCCUCCUAAAGGGUAACGGAGGAGUACAAAGGUACGCUAGGUACGGUCGGAAAUCGUGCUGAUAGUGCAAAGGCAAAAGCGUGCUUGACUGCGAGACCGACAAGUCGAGCAGAUGCGAAAGCAGGUCUUAGUGAUCCGGUGGCUCUGUAUGGAAGGGCCAUCGCUCAACGGAUAAAAGGUACUCUGGGGAUAACAGGCUGAUACCGCCCAAGAGUUCAUAUCGACGGCGGUGUUUGGCACCUCGAUGUCGGCUCAUCUCAUCCUGGGGCUGUAGCCGGUCCCAAGGGUAUGGCUGUUCGCCAUUUAAAGAGGUACGUGAGCUGGGUUUAAAACGUCGUGAGACAGUUUGGUCCCUAUCUGCCGUGGGCGCUGGAAGAUUGACGGGGGCUGCUCCUAGUACGAGAGGACCGGAGUGGACGCACCUCUGGUGUACCGGUUGUCACGCCAGUGGCAUCGCCGGGUAGCUAUGUGCGGAAGAGAUAACCGCUGAAAGCAUCUAAGCGGGAAACUUGCCUGAAGAUAAGUCUUCCCGGAGGCUAGACCUCCCUGAAGAGUCGUUCGAGACCAGGACGUUGAUAGGUCGGGUGUGUAAGCGUUGUGAGACGUUUAGCUAACCGAUACUAAUUGCUCGUGAGGCUUGAUCCU